rnacentral:rRNA from 1 species
AUGUUANUNAAACUAAAGAUUUAUCGGUAACGGAUGGGGAUGCGUGACAUUAGAUAGUUGGCGGGGUAACGGCCCACCUAGNCUACGAUGUCUAGGGGUUCUGAGAGGAAGGUCCCCCACACUGGAACUGAGACACGGUCCAGACUCCUACGGGAGGCAGCAGUGAGGAAUAUUGGUCAAUGGUCGGAAGACUGAACCAGCCAAGUAGCGUGAAGGAUGAAGGNUCUAUGGAUUGUAAACUUCUUUUAUACGGGAAUAAAACCCCCCACNUGUGGGGGCUUGUAUGUACCGUAUGAAUAAGCAUCGGCUAACUCCGUGCCAGCAGCCGCGGUAAUACGGAGGAUGCGAGCGUUAUCCGGAUUUAUUGGGUUUAAAGGGAGCGUANACGGGANNUUAAGUCAGUUGUGAAAGGCUGCGGCUCAACCGCAGCACUGCAGUUGAUACUGGCNNCCUUGANUGCGGUUGANGNNNGUGGAAUUCNUGGUGUAGCGGUGAAAUGCUUANAUAUCACNAA